UGAGGGGUGGGCGGGCGAGGGCCGCGCUGCCGGCGGGGGCACAGCGGGUGCGGCCCUCCCGCCUCGGCUUCGGGGCUGCCCCGGCCCCCUCAGCGCCGGGCGGGAGACGCUGCCCCUCUGCCCCCCGGAUCCUGUGCACCGAAGUCUUCGCGGUGCAGGGCCCGUCCAGAAGCGGGGCUGUUCCUGCUCUGUGGGGGUACGCAAGGCCGGGACAGUACUUUGAGCAGUGGGGGAGAGGAGAGCAGUGCAAGAUAAAGUCAUUUCCAGGUGUAAAUAAACAAAUCUCCCUACGAACAAAGCCAUAUACAACGUCUUGGUAUUUUGAGCUGGAGAGGCUGGCUGGAAGAGGAGAACCUACUGGUAGACAGAGCAAGGCAGGCAUUCCCAAAGGGCUAGCUAUACUUCAGUAUGGAGUGAGAUUUUGGAAAAUAGUUCCACAAAUUAAUGCUCACAUCUCACCACUUCAGAAGAGAAGAUCAACUUUUCUACUUCUAAUGAAAGUCACAGUUGGAGAUGGGCCAGCAACUCCUUUGAAGAACCUCAACUAAUGUGAGCAUGUAAAGUCCCUGUUGUGAAAAGUGAAUGGAGAUAACAGAGCAGGAUAAUCCCUGAAAUACUUCAGAAAAAAAAAAUGCCUUCCUCAGCUGUGUCUCAUUAAUAACCAAAUUUAAAUUAAUAGAACAUAAUUUGUCAUGUUUGGCAAACUGAACAUCAAUACUGCUAGAAAGAGAACAUGCAACUGGUCACUGCUAUGCAAAUCUUUCCUACAGUUCAUGAACCUCCCCACUUCUACUAAGGACCAGACAUCACUAUCAUUUAUUAUUUCAGAAUGGAGUUGUACCUGCUCUGCACUAGUAUGUGAAUUAAAUCAAAACUAAACAAAACAAAUCAGCUCACCAACAUUAACUGGAAGGGCUUGUGGUCACCCAAGUAACAGAAGUUCAUAACAUGCUUUAACUAUGACAGGAAUUCCUCCAAUUCUUCAAGGAUGACUUAAUACCAAUUAGCUCACAUAACAAAGAAAACUGGCAAUCACCAUUGCCCCACUUGCAAGGAAGUUGUUUCCCCCAAAGUAGAAAAUGCUAUAGGAAUCCAAAAAGACAAGAGGAGUUUGAAUCCUCCAGGCACUUCAUGCUUUACCAAUAUUUUCCACAAAAGCAUAAGCAACAUCUACUGUACAGUAAUAUUUAACAUUCAGGAGAAUCACAGUCUUUUCUAAAGUGUGAUCAGAAAGAGGCACCUUCAUAGUCUGUCACUGUGUUCCUCAUAACAAAGGAAGCUUUGUUUCGUGAAGAAAUAUCUUGUACUAAAAUAUUGUAGGGAAACUGUGGUUGUUUUUGUUUUCUAAACAAAGAGGAGAAUGUUCAAGUUUGAGGUUCCCUUUAAGCACUCUUCUAACACGAAUAUGUUUAAAGAUCCUCUAUCAAGUUCAUGCGUGAAAUGUCUUCCAGCCGUUAGUAUAUUUCUAUGCAAAUACAGCCAUGAAAGCUAAUAACUGAAAUCUGCAUUUUUUUCACAUUUUCAGCAUAUUAUACAACUUCUUAUUCUUUCCUGUUUUGUAACUCACAUUAGCCUCUUAUCAAUAAAACAAAACUCAGGUUAUAUUGCCUCCUGCUUAAAUUUUCCACAAACAUCAAAGCUGGACAUUUGAAUAAGCAAUUUAAUGUACACAUUUUUAUUCAGUUCAAUAUACUGAUAUUCUCCUGGUAGGAAUAAGAAUUCUGCAGAACGACUGCAGAGAAACACACCAUUCGGAAUAUGAGUUGGAAUAUUUUUGCAAUGCUUUUCAGUGAGGAUGGUGCGAUAUUAAGAUUAGAUCCUGCAUAUAAUCAAAUUUUGAUGCUUGUACACACAGUCUGGUAUUUCUUUUUCUUUAUAAGGUUUGUAUGCAAAAACACAGCAAUCCAAUAUUUUGAACGUACACUGUCUGCACAUCCUACACAGUCCAAACUGAUGAAAAAAUAAUGUCAAUGAAAAUAAGAAAUGGUGGAGCAGUGUGGUGCACAGACUUUGCUAAAUUCAUCAUAACUAGUUUUACCAUCCUGAGGCCACAAAAUAUUGCAAAUCAGUCCUUCUAGAACAGCUAAAAUACACAGGGCUUAUGUCCACUCCUAAAUUCAAUUUUGUUGUACAGAUUGACUCUUUUGGAGCUGUAAAUAUUUCCAUAAUCUUCUGAACUCUCCGAUAUGAUACACACAGCAGUUCUUCCAAAUGGCCUAUAUCUUCCAAAUUCACUCCCUUUUUAUUUACCAGUGCAUGCAAGAGGUAAUAAAAUAGAAAAGAUGAGAGGUGGAGAGACAACAAAGAUUAUAUUACAUGCAGAGGUGUUACUACUGAGAAUAACCACAGGUUUUAGUGAACAUAAAUAGAAAGGAAACCUAGUUUUUAUCCAAAACCACAAGAGAUACAAAAAAAAAAAAAAAAAAAAAAAAAAAAAAGACCACAGAACAAAAGAAGUCUAUAUUUUGUUCAAGGGAUGGAAUAGAAAUAGCACAUUGCAGUAGCUCAGGAUACUGCUUUAAAUAGUCAGCUGGCUGGAGAGUGCGAUAGAUAAAUUCUCUACGAGUAUAUAUGCAAACCUCUUUUCAAGCACAGACUGAGAUAUCCUUACCAACUGGCCAGCAAGGCCAGGCGUGUACCACAGUGCUAUCUCCCAUCUCUUAUCAAAUAUCUCCCACUUGGGUUCCUCAUCUGGCUGAAGAGAUUCAGGCCCCCCACUCCGUGCCUCCAGACGUAAACAUCCUUUUCUUCAUCUAUGCAAUAAUGAAUUCCCGGGUCAACCCCUCCCCAAGAAAAUAUAUGUCUCUACUAAUCUUAGGCAAAGUGUACAAUAUUAUAGUUGACUUCUUGGUGAUCACUUCUGAAGGUAGAAGCAUAGUAGGUAACCAAGCUACCGCAAGCUAACUCAUUCAAUUGAGAGCAAACUACUGUGGGUUAACUCACAUUUGCCAAUUGUAAGAACACAUACAUGGGCAGCGACUGUAAAUCAGCUUAUUAUUCUGCAGUAAUUUAUGUUGGGGUCUGUAUUCUAGAGAAAAGUAUUGCUGAAGUGGGAAACAAUAAAUGUAACUAACAAUUAGACUUGCUCUUAAAUGCCUUAAAUACCUCCAAGGUAAUGUUUCCCCUGAGAAAACAUUCUCAGGCAGCAUAUUCACUGCUUCUUGCAAUGCAUUACAUGUUUCGGUCUGUUUGGGUUUUGAUUUUUUACAUCUUCAGACUUUAAGAGAAUUGUAAAUGAAAAAAAAAAAAAGGUUGAUACAUGAAUACGUGACUAUUUUUUUAUAUAUUUAUAUAUAUUUAAUUACCCUCAUUGAAAUACCAAGAUCAAUAUAAACUCCAUAUUUAGGCAAUCUAAGAACAGUAUUAGAAUUUCCGCUGUCUUAAAAACUCCUCUAAAAUGGCAACUAGAUCUUUGGGAUGCUACGUAACGAACAUCAGUGGAAGAUUCUCAGUAAUCUGUACUUCUGUCUUGGAAAGUAACAUGAGUUUUGGUAUGUAACUUCCAUUUUUUAAGUUUAGAAAUUUUGAUAUGAUUUAUCAAAUUAUAUCUAGGCAGUUAAAAUAUAUUCUGUACUUCAGCUUUUGGAUGAUAUAUAAAUACAUACAGAGACACUCCUACAAGGCAAUUUGUCUGCCAAUCUGAAAAAUGCUAAUGUUAUAGUCAAUAAGUCAACAGUCUGCAAUGUUACAUUAUGGAAUCAGAAAAAGAUCUAGCUCACAUUCAGUAUGGACAUAAGGAUCAUUAGAAUUUCCAAUGCUCUAUGUAGGACAGUAAAAUUCAAAGACAACUGUACUCUGCCCCUAUAAUCACGAUCUGCACAGCACUUUCAGGUAUUGUUACAGAGAUUAAAAACACAAAAACAGAGCAGAACAGCUCAGCAUCAGAUAAUCACAAGUAAUUCUAUGUCAGCGACAGACAGCUGGAGACAUAUGCCAGCAAUAUUGCAAAAGUGGUAAAAUGGAAAUUUCAUGACAGCAAGGACGUGGGAUUCAUACAUUAAGCUGAAACUCAACCAAAACCACUGAAACUGUUGUUCACAAGUAAGAGCUCUCUGUCACAGUGUUCAGAAAGUCUAGCAUUUGGCAUAAAAAAAGUACUUAGAGGAAACAUUAAAUAGAAGAAUCUACUACUUCUCUCUUUAAUAUUUAGCAUGUUGAACAUUUGUAUGCUUUCAUUUGAUUAUCUUGGGUAAACAGAUUGGAAUUCUUUUUCCAGAGCAGGUGGGAGAGCUGUCCAGCUGUGUACCAAACUCAUAUUUUGUGAAAAUUUUACAUGGAAAAAGCCGUUUGAUGGAAUUCUAUCAACAAAUAUUUGUUUAAAGAGUUUCACUUCAAAAGUAUUUAAAAAAAUUAAUAAAUAUUCUUUGGUUUCAUUUGACUUAGCUUGAGUCACUCUGUUGUUCCCUUCUCCUUAAGUUUCAGGUAUCCAUCAACUAUCAUGUUUCCUGAUACUCUCACUUCUUUAAACAUCUAUUACUAAUAACAGAAUAUAUCUAAGAAAAAAGCUAAAAAAAUCCUCUUAUAUUUAUUAUCUUGAAUCAGAAGGGUGAGAACAAGGAAAAAUACUUUCACUUGGGAGGCAAAAAUAAUCUACUUUUCCACUGUUUUCUUUCUGAGCCUUCUGUGUAGACACCC